rnacentral:rRNA from 1 species
GUAAGUUAUUAAGGGCACACGGUGGAUGCCUUGGCAUUAAGAGCCGAUGAAGGACGUGUGAAUCUGCGAUAAGCCUCGGGGAGCCGAUAACUGGGCUGUGAUCCGAGGAUUUCCGAAUGGGGAAACCUGGCUCAUCUUCAUGGUGAGUUACCGCCAGCUGAAUGUAUAGGCUGGUUGGGGGGAACGCGGGGAAGUGAAACAUCUCAGUACCCGCAGGAAGAGAAAAUAAAGUAAUGAUUCUGUGAGUAGUGGCGAGCGAAAGCGGAAGAGACUAAACCUGUGGUGUGUGAUAGCGGUUAGGCGUUGCAUCAUGGGGGUUGUGGGAGUCACAGUGGCAGUUCUAACUGGCUGCCGGCAUGAUGUUCAGGAUGGUAGGUGAACGACUUGGAAUGGUCGGCCGUAGAGGGUGAGAGUCCCGUAAUCGAAAUUGUUCUGUCCGUGGUGUGGCCACCCGAGUAGCACGGGGCUCGUGGAAUCUCGUGUGAAUCUGCCAGGACCACCUGGUAAGUCUAAAUACUUCUUAAUGACCGAUAGUGAAUCAGUACCGUGAGGGAAUGGUGAAAAGUACCCCGGGAGGGGAGUGAAAUAGUACCUGAAACCGUGUGCUUACAAGCCGUUGGAGCCUUUUGGGGUGACAGCGUGCCUUUUGAAGAAUGAGCCUGCGAGUUAGUGUUAUGUCGCGAGGUUAACCCGUGUGGGGUAUCCGUAGCGAAAGCGAGUCUGAAUAGGGCGUUUGAGUGGCAUGACCUAGACCCGAAGCGGAGUGAUCUAUCCAUGGCCAGGUUGAAGCGACGGUAAGACGUCGUGGAGGACCGAACCCACUUCAGUUGAAAAUGGAGGGGAUGAGCUGUGGAUAGGGGUGAAAGGCCAAUCAAACUCUGUGAUAGCUGGUUCUCCCCGAAAUGCAUUUAGGUGCAGCGUUACGUGUUUCUUGCCGGAGGUAGAGCUACUGGAUGGCCGAUGGGCCUUCACGGGUUACUGACGUCAGCUAAACUCCGAAUGCCGGUAAGUGAGAGCGUAGCAGUGAGACAGUGGGGGAUAAGCUUCAUUGUCGAGAGGGAAACAGCCCAGACCAUCAACUAAGGCCCCUAAGCGUGUGCUAAGUGGGAAAGGAUGUGGAGUUGCUGAGACAACCAGGAGGUUGGCUUAGAAGCAGCCAUCCUUGAAAGAGUGCGUAAUAGCUCACUGGUCAAGUGAUUCUGCGCCGAUAAUGUAGCGGGGCUCAAGUACACCGCCGAAGUUGUGGCAAUGAUCUUUUUGGAUUGUUGGGUAGGGGAGCGUCGUGUGGCCGUUGAAGCUGCGGUGUAAACCAGUGGUGGAGGCUAUGCGAGUGAGAAUGCAGGCAUGAGUAGCGAAAGAUGAGUGAGAAACUCAUCCGCCGGAUGAUCAAGGGUUCCAGGGUCAAGUUAAUCUGCCCUGGGUUAGUCGGGGCCUAAGGCGAGGCCGACAGGCGUAGUCGAUGGAUAACGGGUUGAUAUUCCCGUACCGGUGAAAAACCGCCCAUACUGAUAUUGUGAUGCUAACCAUGCGAAGCAUGAUGUGCAGGCUUUUGUUUGUGUGUUGUGUGGGUUGUGGGACCCGAUCUUUGGAGGUAAACGUGUUAACAGGUGUGACGCAGGAAGGUAGCCAAGCCACGCGAUGGUUGUCGUGGUCUAAGCGUGUAGGGUUGUCGGUUGUUAAAUGCGCCGGCUGUGUGCCUGAGACGUGAUGGGACCCCGUUUUUGGGGGAUUUGGUGAUCCUAUGCUGCCGAGAAAAGCAUCGGCGUGAGGUUUUAGCCGCCCGUACCCUAAACCGACACAGGUGAUCAGGUAGAGAAUACUAAGGCGAUCGAGAGAAUCAUGGUUAAGGAACUCGGCAAAAUGCCCCCGUAACUUCGGGAGAAGGGGGGCCCUGAGCGUGAUCUGCCCGUGCGGUGGGGAGCGUGUAGGGGUCGCAGAGACCAGGGGGAAGCGACUGUUUAUCAAAAACACAGGUCCGUGCGAAGUCGUAAGACGAUGUAUACGGACUGACUCCUGCCCGGUGCUGGAAGGUUAAGAGGAUUGGUUAGCCUUUUUUGGGCGAAGCUGAGAAUUUAAGCCCCAGUAAACGGCGGUGGUAACUAUAACCAUCCUAAGGUAGCGAAAUUCCUUGUCGGGUAAGUUCCGACCUGCACGAAUGG